UCCUGGAGUUAGGCCUUCAACCAAAGAGCUGGGCCAUCCGUGGCAAUGCCUCCCAGGCUUGGGAGCUGGGAAAAGGCCCCAGGAGCUAGGGCAUCCUGAUUGUUCUUUCAAAGAAAUCCCUCUUGUUCUUAGUCAACAUGCUGGAUACCAGCUAAAAAAUGCAAAAUGAUCUUCAGGCAGGGAUGGCACAGGACCCUUGCUGAGCUGUGAAGCCUGGCUGUGAGGAUUCCUGCAUGGAAACAUCAACAUGUUGCCAGAUUGGUAUACGACUCAACACCACACUGACAUGCUGCUCCCAAACAGUGCCUUUGAAUCAAGACCCAGUCAUCGUAUUCGAAGAAAAAGGAAAUAUCCCUGACCAUGUUGGGACUUAACACUGCUUCACAGAGUCCAUGGAGUUCCUGGUGACUAAUGCCAUCCACAAGAUCUGAAGGUGUUGUGUAACCUAGACCUGGCCCUUCUCUCAGUGCAUCCCCCUCUCCAGAGUGACCAACUCAGAGAGGUCAUGUGCUUAAGGGUGAGAACCACUACAGGACAAAAAUGAGCUCCUUUUUUCCAGUCUCAGCCCAGGAGGGAUCUUCACAGAGAAAGCAAGCCCAGCCCAUCCCCACAGCUGGCUCCCUGGUGCCCAUUCUGAAAGGCUGGACCCAUCCUGACCUGUCCCUGCCCCAAGGACUGCCUGGUGAGGGAUGGCUUACCAACACUGUGACUCAGUCCUUCCAACAUGCCCAACAGGUCAAUUCUGGGAUAUUCCUUACAGGAAUUAAUGAGAGCACAUUGCCGGUAAUGUUGGCAUUAGUAGAUUACAUUUAAAUUUAAAAAUUCCUUUUAUGGGGUUUAAGAAUAGAGACAAGACACCCAUGCAAUAAAGAAAGGAGGAGACUUUGCCUGGUCUAAUGGAGAAGCUGGAGCUGCAUUGUUGGGUACAGUGGCCAGUGGCUACACCUGGCUUUUGAGCCCUUGCACAGUGGCAAGGACACAUUGAGAUGUGCCCUAGGUGCAAGAUACACACAGGAUUUCAAAGACUGAGUAUGAAAAAAGAAGAAAAAAUGUCUCAUUAAUAUUUUUAUAUUGGUUGCAUGUGGAAGUGAUAACAUUUUGGAUAUAAAGUUGACCUUUGAACAGUAUGGGUUUGAACUGCACAGGUCUGCUUAUAAGUGAAAUUUCUUCUGCCUCUGCCACCCCUGAGACAGCAAGACCAACCCUCCACUUCCUCCUCCUCCUCCUCCUCCUCAACCUGCUCAACGUGAAGAUGAUGAAGAUCAAGACCUUCAUGAUGAUCUACUUCCACUUAAUGAAUAGGAAGCUUUCACACCACAUUUUGUUUCCUGACAAGAGAAGGAGAAAUCGUUGGCCUCUGCGUGACAUGGAGGGUCCCCCCACCUGCAAGCUUUUGUGUUUGCUGGAUCUUGGACAGUACCCUGGCGAAAAGCAUUCGGCAAGAUUAUCCGGCUAGCACAGCCUUCAAGGAAUAAAUAUCUAACACCUUGUUCCCUUUUGCGGUUCAAAAGCCACUGUCACUGGGGUACAUAGGCAGUUUUAAAAAAGGCUACAAUUCAUAUGCAAACUAGAGGAGGAUUUCCAUGAUUUCAUAAUAAAAUGUUGAAACGCU
rnacentral:lncRNA from 1 species